rnacentral:hammerhead_ribozyme from 1 species
ACCCGUCUGACGAGUCUCAAAUAGGACGAGACACGCGUCGUGAAU